GCUGAGAAAACUGAGGCUCAGAGAGGUCAAGUGACUUAAGGUUACACCAUGAAUGAUGGGUUCAAGACUGGAAUUCAGAUGAGGAAACUGAGGCCCAAAGAGAUAUCCAAAAUUCAACCCCCAUCCAGUGUUUCAAGAUUUGGGAAUGAACAUCAUAAAAUCCUGUAAUGUUAGGACCAUUUCACUGUUUGAAAAAUACAGGUGAGAUUCUCUCUGCUGGAAAGAGGAGUCUUCAGGCAAGUCAGUUUCUCUUCAGUCCUCAGAGGAAAAGAGCCUGUGUGGCAACACAGAAACCGGUUGCGAAACGAAUGUGCACGAGCCACGGGCCACCAGCAUGGCUCAGCAGGCGAGGCCUGGAUCAUGUGUCUGACCUUCAGCAGAAGCAGUUUCGGCUUAAAUGUUGCUUGCUAUCAUGUCACCCUGCUUUGUCUUUACCAUGGAACUCAUCACCACCUGACAUUUUAUUUUUUGCUUUAUUGGUUCAUUGUCUAUUUUCCCAGUAGAAGAUCUAAGCCCGCCUUGCAAGUCACUGCCGUAUACAAAGUCCAUGCCCGCUGGCCCAGGGUCUGAAAGAAGCCAAGCACAACCUAGAAUAAAGGCAAUUCUGUAGUUGACAUGUUCUUUUUCUCCUCCCUGCCUUGUGUUGCUCCUGGAAAUCAGAGCCUAGUGCUAUUUGCAGGACAAGGAUGAACUCCAAAGCUUAAGUUUUGUUAUCUGUAGCUUAGGUAAAAUACUUAA